AGUGAACGCUGGCGGUAGGCCUAACACAUGCAAGUCGAACGGCAGCACAGUAAGAGCUUGCUCUUACGGGUGGCGAGUGGCGGACGGGUGAGGAAUACAUCGGAAUCUACUUUUUCGUGGGGGAUAACGUAGGGAAACUUACGCCAAUACCGCAUACGACCUACGGGUGAAAGCAGGGGAUCUUCGGACCUUGCGCGAUUGAAUGAACCGAUGUCGGAUUAGCUAGUUGGCGGGGUAAAGGCCCACCAAGGCGACGAUCCGUAGCUGGUCUGAGAGGAUGAUCAGCCACACUGGAACUGAGACACGGUCCAGACUCCUACGGGAGGCAGCAGUGGGGAAUAUUGGACAAUGGGCGCAAGCCUGAUCCAGCCAUACCGCGUGGGUGAAGAAGGCCUUCGGGUUGUAAAGCCCUUUUGUUGGGAAAGAAAAGCAGCAGGUUAAUACCCCGCUGUUCUGACGGUACCCAAAGAAUAAGCACCGGCUAACUUCGUG
rnacentral:rRNA from 1 species